rnacentral:rRNA from 1 species
UCGGACUGCAGGCUGCAACCCGCCUGCACGAAGCCGGAGUUGCUAGUAAUCGCGAAUCAGAAUGUCGCGGUGAAUGCGUUCCCGGGUCUUGUACACACCGCCCGUCACACCAUGGAAGUUGGGGGUGCCCAAAGCCGGCAAGCAAAUAUGCUGUCUAAGGCAAAACCAAUGACUGGGGUGAAGUCGUAACAAGGUAUC